AUUGGACGCUGGCGGCAUGCUUUACACAUGCAAGUCGAACGGCAGCACGGGCUUCGGCCUGGUGGCGAGUGGCGAACGGGUGAGUAAUAUAUCGGAACGUACCCAGAAGUGGGGGAUAACGUAGCGAAAGUUACGCUAAUACCGCAUACGAUCUAUGGAUGAAAGCAGGGGACCGCAAGGCCUUGUGCUCCUGGAGCGGCCGAUAUCUGAUUAGCUAGUUGGUGAGGUAAAGGCUCACCAAGGCGACGAUCAGUAGCUGGUCUGCGAGGAAGACCAGCCACACUGGAACUGGGACACGGUCCAGACUCCUACGGGAGGCAGCAGUGGGGAAUUUUGGACAAUGGGCGCAAGCCUGAUCCAGCAAUGCCGCGUGAGUGAAGAAGGCCUUCGGGUUGUAAAGCUCUUUUGUCAGGGAAGAAACGGUAGAGGCUAAUAUCCUUUGCUAAUGACGGUACCUGAAGAAUAAGCACCGGCUAACUACGUG
rnacentral:rRNA from 1 species